AACCAUAGAAACCUGCGGAGUACCUGCGGAGGGAUCAUCAUUGAAAACAAAUUUGGACAAGGGGAUUGUGAUUGACGGGGGAGGGGAAGGUUUUAUUUCCUGAGCCUUGAGAGAACAACCUCUUGGACAAACAACCAAUCUUCAUGACUAGGAAAAAACACAGUAAAGUAAACCAGUGGUUUGGGGGGGGGCAUAAACAACAAACAAGUUCUUGUCUGACAAGUAGUGUUUGGUGAUACU
rnacentral:misc_RNA from 1 species